UACAGGGGGUGCAAGCGUUGCUCGGAAUCACUGGGCGGAAAGCGUACGCAGGCGGACCGUUAAGUCGGAUGUGUAAUCCCCGGGCUCAACCUGGGAACUGCCUUUGUGACUGCAUAGCUAGAGUACGGUAGAGGGGGAUGGAAUUCCGCGUGUAGCAGUGAAAUGCGUAGAUAUGCGGAGGAACACCGAUGGCGAAGGCAAUCCCCUAGACCUGUACUGACGCUCAUGCACGAAAGCGUGGGGAGCAAACAGG
rnacentral:rRNA from 1 species